rnacentral:rRNA from 1 species
GACGAACGCUGGCGGCGUGCUUAACACAUGCAAGUCGAACGAAGUGGCGAACGGGUGAGUAACGCGUAAUAAACCUGCCCUUCAGAGGGGGACAACAGUUGGAAACGACUGCUAAUACCGCAUACUGAAGGAGGGGAUUGCGUCUGAUUAGCUAGUUGGGGGGGUAAAGGCCCACCAAGGCGAUGGUCCGUAGCCGGGCUGGGAGGAUGAACGGCCACAUUGGGGCUGGGACACGGCCCAGACUCCUACGGGAGGCAGCAGUGGGGAAUCUUCCGCAAUGGACGAAAGUCUGACGGAGCAACGCCGCGUUAGUGAUGACGGCCUUCGGGUUGUAAAGCUCUGUUAAGCGGGACGCGGUACCGGAAGAGAAAGCAACGGCUAACUACGUGCCAGCAGCCGCGGUAAUUC